AAGAGCUACCACUCAUGGAGCACCAGCCUCACACAGGCCCUUUAUGUACACUAUCUCUGAUUGUCUCAACAAUGGUGUGAAGUCCAGCCAGCAGAGGUCUAGAGAAGCUGAGUCCCAGCAAGGAAAGGGCCACACAUGAAAUGGAAAUGAAAUCUUAAGCUCCCUGCCAACUGAAUGAAGCCCUCUUGACCAAGAGGAUUCCAGAGAAACCUCAAAACCUAAGUUUUCCAGCUAUGACAAGACAGUUAAACAGAAACCAGCCCUGGAAACAAAGCAAAUGGAAGAUUCAGUCCUUCGCUGACUUCAACCAACUGCCUGGCGCCACUCCCUUCCCCUCACCGGCAUUCCUUCCCUAUAAGUGACCACUGACCCCGAGCUGGGUCUGACAGUUCACAGAAACUGUGCCCAGGGUGCCUCUGUGUCCUCCUUGCACCUUUUGACACAUAUGGCUUAAUUUUACUACAUUUUUUUAAUAGAGUCUUACUCUGCUGCCAGGCUGGAGUCCAAUGGCGUGAUCUCAGCUCACUGCAACCUCCACCUCCCAGGUUCAAGCAAUUCUCUGCCUCAGCCUCCCAAGUAGCUGGGAUUACAGACACAUGCCACCACACCCAGCUAAUUUUUGUAUUUUUAGUAGAGACGGGGUUUCACCAUCUUGGCCAGGCUGGUCUUGAACUCCUUACUUAGUGAUCCACCCACCUCAGCCUCCCAAAGUGCUGGCAUUACAGGCGUGAGCCACCUGGUCUGGCUUAAAUUUACUAAGGUUUAAUGUGGUCUCCACCCCAAAGUAAACAAACAUAGGAUGUAAUAUACAUGUUUGCUUUCCACACGAGUGAGACUUCCACUCAUGGAUAUAUCUUCCUCCUAUAACCUAUUAAAUAUGCAUGUCUAGCUAAUCUACCAAGCAGAAAACUCCUGUAACAUCUUCCCUCCCUCUAAGUGCCUGCUUUCCGUCUCUAUGGGAGGCUAUGCUUCCCAGCCUGCAGGUUGCAAUCCUUCACAAGAAAUAAAGUUCUC